rnacentral:tRNA from 1 species
GCAUUGGUGGUUUAGUGGCAGAAUUCUCACCUUUAGUGUAGGAGACCUGGGUUCGAUUCUUGGCCAACGUA